UGGAAAACGCAGUGCAUAGGUGAAUGCCUGCUGUCAAGAUCUGGAGUGACAACAGUGGUAGUGAUCUCUAGAGAGAGCUGGAGUUGUGAGGAGGAUUCUACAACCUCUCAAGUGGACACAGCAAAAAAGAAGCCCUGUUCAAAAUUUGCACCUUGACCUUGAACUUCAACUACAGCAUUGUAAAUGUGCUGGAACCCAAUUCCGUUUAGUUGAUCAUCCAAGGUUGCUUGAAAACUGUUGGACCAGUCGCAACUCUAAUCAGGAGGGGACUGAGAAGAUGUGAAAGUGGCAGGAGCUCAAGUUUGAAAACAGCACACCUUUUCCAACCAUUUACUCUGAGUUUGUGUAUGCUAUCACAGGACACCUGGAACAUCAAACACUUGCUUGUUGAACAUCUAGAAUAGAAUUUUAGAAAACUGAGGACUGACAUAAACAUGAAUAUUUAUUUCCAAAAACAAAACAAACAAAAACCAAGAGAAUCUCCUCAUCUCCUGGAAAUGGAAGGACCCAACUCUACCUACAGGUCUCUUGCUGACUUGCAAGUUUCAACCUUGCAAUGGUUUGAGUCAUGGUGUUUGUGCUAUAAUAUUAGGCACACUUCUUUGGACAGAGAGAAGUUACAGUGAGCAGACAGACAGAAGACGGAAUUAAAUCAGUAGUGGCAUCACAGACAGCAUCAGCAACCAGCAAGAAAUUGAAUCUCCAAAUGUCAUUUUGGAAGGAGGAAGCAAGAUGAGUAUUUCAUCUCUUAAUAGAUUAAUCAGGGUAAACGAAACAGCAUGUUCAAAAGUUUGUAGGAUUGGCAAAUUGUGUUUUGGAAAGGCCAUCAGAAAGCAGCCAGAGCCAUUAUGAUAAGAAUUUACAGCGUGACAAUUGUCUAGACAAGAGAAUUAAGACACUCCUUGUUCUAAUUUUAAUUUGAAAUAAAGCUGACCAUAUCACACUGAGUUAAGUGUCCUGGACUGUAGGUCUGCUGCCAUUGGAUAAAAAUCUAAACUUGGUCAUUUCUUCCAGGAUAGCUGAUGGAAAGAAAAGGGAAUAGGGAGCAUGCCAACAGCAAAGAAAUUUGGAUUCAAGUGAAGGGACACACCAUGGUUAAAGAAAGGAAACAUAGGAUUCAAUGAGACAUUCUGAGACAUUUUUACAGUGUAAAAUGACUAAAUCCAGAUAAUUAAAAAAAAAGUCCUUAACAUUAUUUGUGGUGAAAACAUUUUUAAAAACAUUUUUCAGCAAUUUUGAAGUGCAAAAUAUAUUGCUCCUUAUUAUAAUUACCAUACUUUGGCAUUGAGCACUAAAGGUAUUUUUCCUCUUCUCCAACUGAAACUCGUACCAUUUGAUCAGAACCCCUCCUCAUCUACCCAAAUGGAUAGAGAGUAAAAUUAUGGCUAUUGGGGGUUUUCUUUGCAAAGAGAUGACUGAGCCCAGACUUUCUCUCUUGUGCUUACAGUGUAAACUUUUUGACCCGAAUUCCAAGUACAAAACAAGCCACACCCAUGUUGAAAAUUUUACAAGGCUGAUUGACUGAUUAGAAAUGGAUUGUACUCCCUACCUAUUCCACAUAGUACUGAAAGACCUAGCCAGACAACAAAAGGAGUUGGUCAAAGGGAUACAAAUUGGAAAAGAAGAAUUCAAAAAAAAAAAAAAAACUGGAUUGUGGAGAGUGAGAAUGUUGCGAUCUAGAAUUAAAUUAUCUCCUGCUAUCUUUUGUUCCUUUAAUAGCCAUCAGUGGCCAAUUCUUGUGUCAGACAUAACAUCCUUGGGACUAUUAUGCCUAAAAUGUUAGCCAUUUAUAAAUUGACCAGUACCUCCCACUAACCCAAAAGCUAAGAGUCACGGGUAACAUCUGAGGACUGUAGCACAUUCCCUGCUUUGUUGCAACCACUUUGUUUGGUGUAUCUACCAAUAACAAUUGUCUCGUAUUGUGUUCUCUUUUACUCUGUAUCCAGUCAUGAGACUCUUCGCAUGUAAUGUGGAGCACAUUACAUAGGCAAUUGAAUCUCUGUUCCAAUGCCUAGGUCAAAGUAAGGAGUGAGACACUUCACAGUCACAGACUACAGUUUCUCCCGGAGGCCUCCCUUGCCAGCAUCCUGCAAGAGACACGGUGCUGCCUUGGAGAGGAAAGCACAUGAGCUACAGAGACACAGUGCUACCCUGGAUUGAAAAGCACACAAGAGCUCUGCACCCAAAUCCCGUGGGAGGGAGAGCUAAACCUUCAGAGAGGCAGACAAGCCUGGGAAACCAGAAGAUACUGCUCCCUGCACACACAUCUCGGACGCCAGAGGAAAAAGCCAAAGACCAUCUGGAACCCUGGUGCACUGAAGCUCCCGGAAGGGGCGGCACAGGUCUUCCUGGUUGCUGCCGCUGCAGAGAGCCCGUGGGGAGCACCCCACGAGCGAACCUGAGCCUCGGGACCACAGGUAAGACCAAAUUUUCUGCUGCAAGAAAGCUGCCUGGUGAGCUUGGGACACAGGAAAGCAGAAUUUCUCUAGGACCGGGCACGUUCUGUGUUUACCGGAAGUCCCACACCCGCGGAUCCCGGCCCGCAGCAGCUCUCUGCUCCCAGACCCGGUGAGAGAGAGACCCAACCACCUGGUCAGGUGGGCACUCCUGAGGCUGCAGAGCGGAAGAGACCACCAACUCUGCUCACCCCUGCCCACAUCCCUGGCCCAAGAGGAAACUGUAUAAGGCCUCUGGGCUCCCGUGGGGAAGGGCCCAGGAGCGGCAGGACCCCUGUGCCUGAGACACCGCCGGAACCUGAAAGAAACAGACUGGAUAAACAGUUCUCUGCACCCAAAUCCCGUGGGAGGGAGAGCUAAACCUUCAGAGAGGCAGACAAGCCUGGGAAACCAGAAGUGACUGCUCCCUGCACACACAUCUCGGACGCCAGAGGAAAAAGCCAAAGACCAUCUGGAACCCUGGUGCACUGAAGUUCCCGGAAGGGGCGGCACAGGUCUUCCUGGUUGCUGCCGCUGCAGAGAGCCCGUGGGGAGCACCCCACGAGCGAACCUGAGCCUCGGGACCACAGGUAAGACCAAAUUUUCUGCUGCAAGAAAGCUGCCUGGUGAACUCAAGACACAGGCCCACAGAAACAGCUGAAGACCUGUAGAGAGGAAAAACUACACGCCAGAAAGCAGAACACUCUGUCCCCAUAACUGACUGAAAGAGAGGAAAACAGGUCUACAGCACUCCUGUCACACAGGCUUAUAGGACAGUCUAGCCACUGUCAGAAAUAGCAGAACAAAGUAACACUGGAGAUAAUCUGAUGGCGAGAGGCAAGCGCAGGAACCCAAGCAACAGAAACCAAGACUACAUGCCAUCAUCGGAGCCCAAUUCUCCCACCAAAACAAACAUGGAAUAUCCAAACACACCAGAAAAGCAAGAUCUAGUUACAAAAUCAUAUUUGAUCAUGAUGCUGGAGGACUACAAGAAAGACAUGAACACACUUAGGGAAGCACAGGAAAACAUUAAUAAACAAGUAAAAGCCUACAGAGAGGAAUUGCAAAAAUCCCUGAAAGAAUUCCAGGAAAACACAAUCAAACAGUUGAAGGAAUUAAAAAUGGAAAUAGAAGCAAUCAAGAAAGAACACAUGGAAACAACCCUGGAUAUAGAAAACCAAAAGAAGAGACAAGGAGCUGUAGAUACAAGCCUCACCAACAGAAUUCAAGAGAUGGAAGAGAGAAUCUCAGGAGCAGAAGAUUCCAUAGAAAUCAUUGACUCAACUGUCAAAGAUAAUGUAAAGCGGAAAAAGCUACUGGUCCAAAACAUACAGGAAAUCCAGGACUCAAUGAGAAGAUCAAACCUAAGGAUAAUAGGUAUAGAAGAGAGUGAAGACUCCCAGCUCAAAGGACUAGUAAAUAUCUUCAACAAAAUCAUAGAAGAAAACUUCCCUAACCUAAAAAAAGAGAUACCCAUAGACAUACAAGAAGCCUACAGAACUCCAAAUAGAUUGGACCA